rnacentral:rRNA from 1 species
UGGGGAAUCUUGCGCAAUGGGCGAAAGCCUGACGCAGCCAUGCCGCGUGGAUGAUGAAGGUCUUAGGAUUGUAAAAUCCUUUCACCGGGGACGAUAAUGACGGUACCCGGAGAAGAAGCCCCGGCUAACUUCGUGCUAGCAGCCGCGGUAAUACGAAGGGGGCUAGCGUUGCUCGGAAUUACUGGGCGUAAAGGGCGCGUAGGCGGACAGUUAAGUUGGGGGUGAAAGCCCGGGGCUCAACCUCGGAAUUGCCUUCAAUACUGGCUGUCUUGAGUACGGGAGAGGUGAGUGGAACUCCGAGUGUAGAGGUGAAAUUCGUAGAUAUUCGGAAGAACACCAGUGGCGAAGGCGACUCACUGGCCCGUUACUGACGCUGAGGCGCGAAAGCGUGGGGAGCAAACA